rnacentral:rRNA from 1 species
AUGAACGCUGGCGGCGUGUCUAAGGCAUGCAAGUCGAGCGGGUCCGCCGCAAGGCGGACCAGCGGCGAACGGGUGAGUAACACAUUGGUAACCUGCCCCGAGGUUCGGGACAACCCGGCGAAAGCUGGGCUAAUCCCGGAUGUGAUCCGCUCGCGCAGGCGAGCGGAGGAAAGCUCUACGCAAGUGGGGCGCCUUGGGAGGGGCCUAUGGCUUAUCAGCUUGUUGGUAGGGUAACGGCCUACCAAGGCUAUGACGAGUAGCGGGCGUGAGAGCGCGACCCGCCUCACGGGGACUGAGACACUGCCCCGACUCCUACGGGAGGCUGCAGUCGAGAAUCUUCCCCAAUGGGCGAAAGCCUGAGGGAGCGACGCCGCGUGCCGGAUGAAGCCCUUCGGGGUGUAAACGGCUUUUCUGCCUGACGAACUCAUGACGGUAAGGCAGGAAUAAGGGGCUGCUAACUCUGU